GACAGAGGGGGCAAGCGUUGUUCGGAAUCACUGGGCUUAAAGGGCGCGUAGGCGGACGACCAAGUCGGGGGUGAAAUCUUUCGGCUCAACCGGAAAAUAGCCUUCGAUACUGGCCGUCUGGAGGGAGGUAGGGGCGUGUGGAACUUCCGGUGGAGCGGUGAAAUGCGUUGAUAUCGGAAGGAACUCCGGUGGCGAAAGCGACACGCUGGAUCUCAUCUGACGCUGAGGCGCGAAAGCCAGGGGAGCGAACGGG
rnacentral:rRNA from 1 species